ACAUCGCCUCUUGCCCCUAAAAUAUAAGAGGUCCCGCCUGCCCUGUGACUAUACGUUUAACGGCCGCGGUAUUUUGACCGUGCAAAGGUAGCGCAAUCACUUGUCUUUUAAAUGAAGACCUGUAUGAAUGGCAUAACGAGGGCUUAACUGUCUCCUUUUUCCAGUCAAUGAAAUUGAUCCCCCCGUGCAGAAGCGGGGAUACGCCCAUAAGACGAGAAGACCCUAUGGAGCUUUAGACACCAGUACAGAGCAUGUUAAACACCCCCUCACAAAGGACAAAACUAAUUGCCCCCCUGUUCUAAUGUCUUUGGUUGGGGCGACCGCGGGGAAACGAAAAACCCCCAUGUGGACCAGGAGCACACGCUCCUACAACCCAGACUGACAACUCCAAGUAACAGAACUUCUGACCAACAAGAUCCGGCACAAGCCGAUCAACGAACCGAGUUACCCUAGGGAUAACAGCGCAAUCCUCUUUUAGAGCCCAUAUCGACAAGAGGGUUUACGACCUCGAUGUUGGAUCAGGACAUCCUAAUGGU
rnacentral:rRNA from 1 species